rnacentral:rRNA from 1 species
GACGAACGCUGGCGGCGUGCUUAACACAUGCAAGUCGAACGCUGAAGCUCAGCUUUUGUUGGGUGGAUGAGUGGCGAACGGGUGAGUAACACGUGAGUAACCUGCCUCCUUCUUUGGGAUAACGCCCGGAAACGGGUGCUAAUACUGGAUAUUCACUGGUCUUCGCAUGGGGGUUGGUGGAAAGGGUUUUUCUGGUGGGGGAUGGGCUCGCGGCCUAUCAGCUCGUUGGUGGGGUGAUGGCCUACCAAGGCUUUGACGGGUAGCCGGCCUGAGAGGGUGACCGGUCACAUUGGGACUGAGAUACGGCCCAGACUCCUACGGGAGGCAGCAGUGGGGAAUAUUGCACAAUGGGCGCAAGCCUGAUGCAGCGACGCCGCGUGAGGGAUGGAGGCCUUCGGGUUGUGAACCUCUUUCGCUCAUGGUCAAGCCGCAACAAUGGUUGUGGUGAGGGUAGUGGGUAAAGAAGCGCCGGCUAACUACGUG